rnacentral:rRNA from 1 species
GCCGCGGUAUCCUAACCGUGCGAAGGUAGCGUAAUCACUUGUUCUUUAAAUAAGGACUAGUAUGAACGGCACCACGAGGGUUAUACUGUCUCCUUUUUCCAAUCAAUGAAACUGAUUUUCCCGUGAAGAAGCGGGGAUACUUCUAUAAGACGAGAAGACCCUAUGGAGCUUCAAACCAAAUAGCAUCGGCUAUACCUUAAUAUUUUAAUCAAUAACUUUUAUUAUCGCCCUCUGACUAUUAGUUUUAGGUUGGGGUGACCGCGGAACAAAAAUUAACCUCCAUGGUGAAAACUUUUUCCUGAGCCAAGAGCCACAGCUCUAAGCACCAAAACAUUGACACAAAUUGACCCAAUAAAUUGAGCAACGAACCAAGUUACCCUAGGGAUAACAGCGCAAUCCACUUCAAGAGCUCCUAUCGACAAGUGGGUUUACGACCUCGAUGUUGGAUCAGGGUAUCCUAGUGGUGCAGCCGCUGCUAAUGGUUCGUUUGUUCAACGAUUAAAACCCUACGUGAUCUG